rnacentral:rRNA from 1 species
GCGCGUAGGCCGUUCCUUAGUCAGUUGUGAAAUCCCCGGGCUUAACUCGGGGCCUGCAGGCGAAACUGUGGUGCUGGAGUAUGGGAGAGGUGCGUGGAAUUCCCGGUGUAGCGGUGAAAUGCAUAUAUAUCGGGAGGAACACCUGUGGAGAACGCGGCUCACUGGACCAUAACUGACUCUGAGGCGCGAAAGCUAGGGGAGCAAACAAGAUUAGAUACCCUGGUACUCCUACCCCUAAACGAUGAUUGCUUGGUGUAGCAGGUACCCGAUCCUGCUGUGCCACAUCUAAUUCUAUACGCAAUCCGCCUGGGGAGUACGGUCUCUAGGCUAAAACUCAAAGGAAUUGACGGGGGCCCGCACAACCGGUGGAGCUUUUGCUUCAAUUCAACACAAAAAAAAUAACCUUACCUGGGCUCGAUAUGCAGUGGACAAGGUGGAUACAUCCCUUCUCCUUAAAAUGCUGCUGUAUAGGUGCUGCUCGGCUGUCCUCAACUCUUGUUUGCUAUGUUGCGUUUAUUUCC